GGAUGAACGUUGGCGGUGUGCCUAAUACAUGCAAGUCGAACGGAGACUGUAGCAAUACUGUCUUAGUGGCGAACGGGUGAGUAACGCGUUGGUGAUCUGCCUCGAAGUGUGGAAUAACCUCCCGAAAGGGAAGCUAAUACCGCAUAGUCUCUCAAGGUUUAGAAAAUUGAGAGUAAAGGAUUUAUUCGCUUCGAGAGGAGCCUGCGUCCCAUCAGCUAGUUGGUAGGGUAACGGCCUACCAAGGCUAUGACGGGUAGGGGACCUGAGAGGGUGGCCCCCCACAAUGGAACUGAAACACGGUCCAUACACCUACGGGUGGCAGCAGUAGGGAAUAUUAGAAAUGAGCGGAAGCCUGAUCUAGCAACACCGCGUGUGCGAUGAAGGCCUUCGGGUCGUAAAGCACUUUUUGGAGGGAAUAGGAAGGAAGGUACCUCCAGAAUAAGUCUCGGCUACUACGUGCCAGCAGCCGCGGUAACACGUAGGGGGCGAGCGUUGUCCGGAAUUACUGGGCGUAAAGCGCACGCAGGCGGAUGCGCGCGUCGGCUGUGAAAUGCACCGGCUCAACCGGUGCACUGCGGUCGAUACGGCGCAUCUGGAGUGCGGGAGAGGGAAGCGGAAUUCCCGGUGUAGCGGUGAAAUGCGUAGAUAUCGGGAGGAACGCCGGUGGCGAAGGCGGCUUCCUGGCCCGCAACUGACGCUCAUGUGCGAAAGCCAGGGGAGCGAACCGGAUUAGAUACCCGGGUAGUCCUGGCCGUAAACGAUGGACGCUAGGUGUGGGCGGUUUAUCCGUCUGUGCCGAAGUUAACGCGUUAAGCGUCCCGCCUGGGGAGUACGAUCGCAAGGUUGAAACUCAAAGGAAUUGACGGGGGCCCGCACAAGCGGUGGAGCGCGUGGUUUAAUUCGAUGCAAACCGAAGAACCUUACCUGGGUUUGACAUGCAGGUGGUACGAACCCGAAAGGGCAAGGACCGCACCUUCGGGUGCGGAGCCUGCACAGGUGCUGCAUGGCUGUCGUCAGCUCGUGUCGUGAGAUGUUGGGUUAAGUCCCGCAACGAGCGCGACCCCUGCUUCCAGUUGCCAUCAGGUCGAGCUGGGCACUCUGGAGGGACUGCCGGCGACAAGUCGGAGGAAGGCGGGGAUGACGUCAAGUCAUCAUGGCCCUUAUGUCCAGGGCGACACACGCGCUACAAUGGCCGGCACAGAGGGAGGCAAGCCCGCGAGGGUGAGCAGAUCCUGUUAAAGCCGGUCUCAGUUCGGAUCGCAGUCUGCAACCCGACUGCGUGAAGCCGGAAUCGCUAGUAAUCGCGGAUCAGCCAUGCCGCGGUGAAUACGUUCCCGGGCCU
rnacentral:rRNA from 1 species